rnacentral:tRNA from 1 species
GGAGAGUUGGCAGAGAUGGAUGAUUGCACCUGUUUGCUAUGCAGGCGGACGACUUUAAAGUUCCGUGGGUUCGAAUCCCACACUCUCCU